AUUAAACGCUGGCGGCAUGCCUUACACAUGCAAGUCGAACGGCAGCACGGGGGCAACCCUGGUGGCGAGUGGCGGACGGGUGAGUAAUGCAUCGGAACGUGCCCUGAAGUGGGGGAUAACGCAGCGAAAGCUACGCUAAUACCGCAUAUUCUGUGAGCAGGAAAGCAGGGGAUCGCAAGACCUUGCGCUUUGGGAGCGGCCGAUGUCGGAUUAGCUAGUUGGUGGGGUAAAGGCCUACCAAGGCGACGAUCCGUAGCGGGUCUGAGAGGAUGAUCCGCCACACUGGGACUGAGACAUGGCCCAGACUCCUACGGGAGGCAGCAGUGGGGAAUUUUGGACAAUGGGCGGAAGCCUGAUCCAGCCAUGCCGCGUGAGUGAAGAAGGCC
rnacentral:rRNA from 1 species